rnacentral:rRNA from 1 species
UGGGGAAUCUUGGGCAAUGGGGGAAACCCUGACCCAGCGACGCCGCGUGGGGGAUGAAGGCCUUCGGGUUGUAAACCCCUGUUAGGUGGGACGAACACCUCCUGGCGAAUAGCCAGGGGGUCUGACGGUACCACCAGAGAAAGCCCCGGCUAACUCCGUGCCAGCAGCCGCGGUAAUACGGAGGGGGCUAGUGUUGUUCGGAAUUACUGGGCGUAAAGGGCGCGCAGGCGGCUUGGCAAGUCGAGUGUGAAAUCCCUUGGCUUAACUAAGGAAUGGCGCUCGAAACUACCUCGCUAGAGGACGGGAGAGGGAAGUGGAACUCUCGGUGUAGGGGUGAAAUCUGUAGAUAUCGAGAGGAACACCGGUGGCGAAGGCGGCUUCCUGGCCCGUAACUGACGCUGAGGCGCGAAAGCGUGGGGAGCAAACAG